rnacentral:rRNA from 1 species
AUUGAACGCUGGCGGCGGGCCUAACACAUGCAAGUCGAACGAGAGGCGGACGGGUGAGUAAUGUCUGGGAAACUGCCUGAUGGAGGGGGAUAACUACUGGAAACGGUAGCUAAUACCGCAUACCAUCGGAUGUGCCCCUAUGGGAUUGGCUAGUAGGGGGGGUAAAGGCUCACCUAGGCGACGAUCCCUAGCUGGUCUGCGAGGAUGACCAGCCACACUGGAACUGAGACACGGCCCAGACUCCUACGGGAGGCAGCAGUGGGGAAUAUUGCACAAUGGGCGAAAGCCUGAUGCAGCCAUGCCGCGUGUAUGAAGAAGGCCUUCGGGUUGUAAAGUACUUUCAGCGGGGAGGCGUUACCCGCAGAAGAAGCACCGGCUAACUCCGUGCCAGCAGCCGCGGUAAUAC